rnacentral:rRNA from 1 species
UACGGAGGGUGCAAGCGUUAUCCGGAUUCACUGGGUUUAAAGGGUGCGUAGGCGGACAGGUAAGUCAGUGGUGAAAUCUCUGGGCUUAACCCAGAAACUGCCGUUGAUACUAUUUGUCUUGAAUAUCCUGGAGGUAGGCGGAAUAUGUCAUGUAGCGGUGAAAUGCUUAGAUAUGACAUAGAACACCGAUAGCGAAGGCAGCUUACUACAGGAUGGUUGACGCUGAGGCACGAAAGCGUGGGGAGCAAACAGG